rnacentral:rRNA from 1 species
CCUACGGGGGGCAGCAGUGAGGAAUAUUGCACAAUGGGCGCAAGCCUGAUGCAGCAACGCCGCGUGCGGGACGAAGGCCUUCGGGUCGUAAACCGCUUUUCUGAGGGAAGAGCAAGGACGGUACCUCAGGAAUAAGUCUCGGCUAACUACGUGCCAGCAGCCGCGGUAAAACGUAGGAGGCGAGCGUUAUCCGGAUUUACUGGGCGUAAAGCGCACGCAGGCGGCUCUGUGAGUCGGACGUGAAAGCUCUCGGCUUAACCGGGAGAGGUCGUUCGAUACUGCAGGGCUUGAGGUAGGGAGAGGAAUGCGGAAUUCCCGGUGUAGUGGUGGAAUGCGUAGAUAUCGGGAGGAACACCUGUGGCGAAAGCGGCAUUCUGGCCCUCACCUGACGCUGAGGUGCGAAAGCGUGGGUAGCAAACAGGAUUAGAUACCCGGGUAGUC